rfam:Gossypium raimondii Chr08_contig_1301, whole genome shotgun sequence.
CAUUAAAAAAUUCAUCCAUUUCUAUUAUUAAAAAUGGACAAAUAGUGAUACAUGCAUGCCACGUAUAACUCAUGCUGAUGUACAAAGACCCGUUUUUAACCAUAGAAAUACAUGAAAUUUUUAACA